rnacentral:rRNA from 1 species
UACGUAGGGGGCUAGCGUUGUUCGGAGUUACUGGGCGUAAAGGGUGCGUAGGCGGCCUUAUAAGUAUGGUGUGAAAUCUCCCGGCUUAACUGGGAGGGUGCGCUAUAGACUGUGGGGCUAGAGUGUGGGAGAGGAAAGUGGAAUUCCUGGUGUAGCGGUGAAAUGCGUAGAUAUCAGGAGGAACACCGGUGGUGUAAACGGCUUUCUGGACCAUAACUGACGCUGAGGCACGAAAGCGUGGGUAGCAAACAGG